AGGGUUUGAUCCUGGCUCAGAGUGAACGCUGGCGGCGUGGAUUAGGCAUGCAAGUCGAGCGAUUUUUUGCAACGAACUACUUGAAAUUUUGGAAGUUCAUUUCGGUGAAUGGAAAAGAUGGAUAGUAGCUAGUUUCUUAAAAUAGCGGCAGAAGGGUGAGGAAUACGUGGAUGACCUACCCUAAGAUGAGGGAUAGCUUCGAGAAAUCGGAGGUAAUACCUCGUAUACCUUUUACCUUGCGGGGUAUUAGGAAAAGAUGGCUUAAUUCUUCGGAAUGCUAUUGUCUUAGGCGGGGUUCGCGUCUUAUCAGCUAGUUGGUAGGGUAAUGGCCUACCAAGGCUAUGACGAGUAACUGGCAUUAGUGUGUGGUCAGUCACACCGGAACUGAGAUACUGUUCGGACUUCUACGGAAGGCUGCAGUCGAGAAUCUUUCCCAAUGCCCGAAAGGGUGAGGAUGCGACGCCGCGUAGGGGAUGAAGGUCUUCGGAUUGUAAACCCUUUUUGUAAGAGAGGAAAUACUGAUGAUUAAUACUUAUCAGGGCUGACAUUAUCUUACGAAUAAGCCACGGCUAACUCCGUGCCAGCAGCCGCGGUAAUACGGAGGUGGCAAGCGUUACUCGGAAUUACUGGGUGUAAAGGGUCCGCAGGCGGCUAAAUAAGUAAGGGGUGAAAUCCUUCCGCUCAACGGAAGAACUGCCUCUUAUACUGUUUAGCUAGAGGGCGAUAGAGGAAAGCGGAACUGCUAGUGUAAGGGUGAAAUCUGUGGAUAUUAGCAGGAACGUCAGUGACGAAGGUGGCUUUCUGGAUCGCUCCUGACGCUCAGGGACGAAAGCUAGGGGAGCAAACAGGAUUAGAUACCCUGGUAGUCCUAGCUGUAAACGAUGGGCACUAGGUGUUUGGACUUUUAGUUUGAGCGCCGAAGUUAACGCGAUAAGUGCCCCACCUGGGGACUACGGCCGCAAGGCUAAAACUCAAAGGAAUUGACGGGGGCCCGCACAAGCGGUGGAACACGUGGUUUAAUUCGAUGCUACGCGAGGAACCUUACCAGGGUUUGACAUGCUAGAAGUAUUCCGGUAGAAACACUGGAAGACCGUAUCCAAUCGGCGUCUAGUACAGGUGCUGCAUGGUUGUCGUCAGCUCGUGCCGUGAGGUGUCGCCUUAAGUGGUUCAACGAGCGCAACCCUCGCCUCUUGUUGCUACUUUCAACUUUGUUGAAACGCACUCUAGAGGGACUGCCCACGUUAAGUGGGAGGAAGGUGGGGAUGACGUCAAAUCAGCAUGGCCCUUAUGUCCUGGGCUAUACACGUGUUACAAUGGCGUAUACAACGGGAUGCAAGACCGCAAGGUGGAGCUAAUCCAUAAAAGUACGCCUCAGUUCGGAUUGAAGGCUGCAACUCGCCUUCAUGAAGCUGGAAUCGCUAGUAAUGGCGUAUCAGCAACGACGCCGUGAAUACGUUCCCGGGCCUUGUACACACCGCCCGUCAAGCGCCGAAAGUGGGGAGCACCCGAAGCCUCGACAUAAGUCGAGAUCACGGUGAGAUUCAUGAUUGGUGCUAAGUCGUAACAAGGUA
rnacentral:rRNA from 1 species